rnacentral:rRNA from 1 species
GAUGAACGCUGGCGGCGUGCCUAAUACAUGCAAGUCGAGCGAACAGACGAGGAGCUUGCUCCUCUGACGUUAGCGGCGGACGGGUGAGUAACACGUGGAUAACCUACCUAUAAGACUGGGAUAACUUCGGGAAACCGGAGCUAAUACCGGAUAAUAUAUUGAACCGCAUGGUUCAAUAGUGAAAGACGGUUUUGCUGUCACUUAUAGAUGGAUCCGCGCCGCAUUAGCUAGUUGGUAAGGUAACGGCUUACCAAGGCAACGAUGCGUAGCCGACCUGAGAGGGUGAUCGGCCACACUGGAACGGGGACACGGUCCAGACUCCUACGGGAGGCAGCAGUAGGGAAUCUUCCGCAAUGGGCGAAAGCCUGACGGAGCAACGCCGCGUGAGUGAUGAAGGUCUUCGGAUCGUAAAACUCUGUUAUUAGGGAAGAACAAAUGUGUAAGUAACUAGGCACGUCUUGACGGUACCUAAUCAGAAAGCCACGGCUAACUACGUG